CUCGUCCUUCUUGAACACGGGGCACGCGUUGUUGCACACGCCGUCCUGCCGCAGCUCGGCAGGGCAGCGCGCGUUCACGUCCACGGCGCAGCGCGGGCCGCGGCUGCACCCGGACCCGCCGUCGGGGAGGAAGCUCAUGGGCACGUUGAAGCCGUCGAUGAGGGAGAUGUCGAAGAAGUCGAGGUUGUUGAACUGCUUCAGCGCGUACUCCGCCAGCGUGUUGGGCGCGCGCCCGUACCCAGUGCACUGCAGCACGCCGCCGCAGUCCCCCGUGCGGCAGCUCCCGCGCCCGCUCGCGUCGAACUUGCACCCCGUGCGCGCCCAGAUGCGCGCGGCCGUCGUGCCCGCGGGGGCCGUGAUCCGCCAGCUCUCGCCGCGGU
rnacentral:misc_RNA from 1 species